ACAGCUUAAUAAUGUUGUUUUUUCACUCAGGAAUGGACCAGAGCGUUGUGUGAGAAGGAUUCCGAUGGUGACGGAUUGACCAAUGGUCAAGAACUGGGUGACCCCAACUGUACCUGGUCCCAGGGAACGACUAACGCCACGGGUUCACCGCUAUCCCACCCAGGUGUGUGUGACCCAUGGAACGACCCCAAGUGUCUGGCCAGAGACGAGAGCUGGGUACUGCCGGCCUGUCAGGAUUCGGGCUUCACCUGCAGCGGUAUCAAUGACGUCAACGUGAGAAGAUUGGAUCUGAAGUUACCCCAGACUUCUGUGCCUGCAGCAGAAACUACCUAUAUGUGUCAGAUCUUCUCCAUCCCCAACGACACGGACUACCACAUCAUUGCCAGCCAGCCCCUCAUCGACAACGUCAACAUCAUGCACCACGCCGUCGUCUUCGGCUGCA